AUAAAAUAGGGGUUAUGCUGUCCAAAUUUUGGGGCAGCUUACUACCUUGAUUUUGGACUGAUUUGGUGAUGUACUUGCCUAAUAUGCUUAGUGAACCUUUAAGCUUUGCUUAUGUAUUGCAUUUUGGUUGAAAUGGAAGGGUUUCAUUGGGAUUUUCUUCCAAAUUGCUGGCUAAAAUUGUGCUUGUUUGUCGAUGGAGAGUGCAGCCUAUUACAUUGUUGUUUUUCUAACCUUUUAGUAAUUGGUUUUGGCCAAAACUUGUUCCAAACUUUGGAGGAGCCUUUUGUGCGUGAAUUUGAGUGAAAACUAUGAAAAUUGGGAGGUGAAAACCUCAUGAUUGUACUUGUUUCA
rnacentral:lncRNA from 1 species